rnacentral:tRNA from 1 species
GUAAUAAUAGCUCAAUGGUAAGUGCCUGCUUAGCAUGCAUGAGGUCCUGGGUUCAACCCCCAGUAUCUGCA